AGCAGCCGCGGUAAUUCCAGCUCCAAUAGCGUAUAUUAGUGUUGUUGCGGUUAAAAAGCUCGUAGUUGAAUUUCGGGAUUGGGAUAUAUCGGUCAUGCCUUUAGGGACAUGAAUCGGUGUGUGAUCAAUUCUCACCUUCUGGUGAAUUGGGAUGCUCUUGGGUGUUUCGAUGAACUAGGACAUUUACUUUGAAAAAAUUAGAGUGUUUAAAGCGGGCAUUUUUGCUUGAAUACAUUAGCAUGGAAUAAUAAAAUAGGACGAUGGUUCUAUUUUGUUGGUUUUAGGACCACGUAAUGAUUAAUAGGGAUAGUUGGGGGCAUUAGUAUUCAAUUGUCAGAGGUGAAAUUCUUGGAUUUAUUGAGGACUAACUACUGCGAAAGCAUUUGCCAAGGAUGUUUUCAUUAAUCAAGAACGAAAGUUAGGGGAUCGAAGACGAUUUAUGCACGUCGUAGUCUUAACCAUAAACUAUGCCGACUAGGAAUUAGACAAAGUUAAUUUUUUAACGACUUGUUUGGUACCUUACG
rnacentral:rRNA from 1 species